rnacentral:rRNA from 1 species
UACGUAGGGUGCGAGCGUUGUCCGGAAUUAUUGGGCGUAAAGGGCUCGUAGGCGGUCUGUUGCGUCAGGAGUGAAAACUCGGGGCUUAACCCCGAGCCUGCUUCUGAUACGGGCAGACUAGAGGUAUGCAGGGGGAGAACGGAAUUCCUGGUGUAGCGGUGAAAUGCGCAGAUAUCAGGAGGAACACCGGUGGCGAAGGCGGUUCUCUGGGCAUUACCUGACGCUGAGGCGCGAAAGCCAGGGGAGCAAACGGG